GGACUUUUUUUCCUAAUUCUCUUUUAUUUUUUUUUUUUUAUUUAGUUAGCUAAGUUUGAGUCCAUACUUUGACUCAUAUUUUAAACAGCAGCAUCUAGGAACUCACUGUUUCUGCCAGCAGGGCACUUGGCCCUCUUCUCUUUACUGUGCUCUCUGCCUCCCUUCUGAAAGAUGAUGUGGGAAUAUAUUGAUCCCAGCUUUUAGGACUUGUUCUAUUUCUGAACCCAGAUUGCAGUAUAAAGUACAAACACCAUUUUAAAAUGGAAGAUCUAUAUUAGAAUGACUAAGAGAAUAAAUUAAAGCACUGUCCUAUCUCUCCUGGUCUGCAGGCUGUGGUUAAGGAGGGAAUGCCCAGUGCUGUCUACCUGAAUGAUGCUUUAGAGUCUCCAGUAUCAGGGGACUUCAGUGAGCACAGUAUUGAUUUUUGUUCCUACAUUAAGCUUUUAGCUUUGCAAAUGGUUUUCUUUGAAAUCAUUAACAUUGCAAUGUGCAGUCUGAAAUAGCUCUGCUGCUGUGCAGGUGCCACCUCUGAUCCCUUCCUUCUUCCCUUCCUCUGCUGAACCAUCAUUCAGCUGAUACACCUGCAGGAGGGUGAAGAGAAAAGGAAGUGAAGUUGCAAGCCAGGACAGCCUUGGAACUGGGUUCCAGGCCAGCUCCAUGACUGUGCUGUCCCCAGGGAAGGAAGAAUCCUCCUGCUGCGCUGGCUGCCGGUGACCUGGCAGGGGACAUGGAGCUGCUGGCUGUCACAGCCCCAGAGGAAGCAGGGAAGGAUGCAACAGCAUCACAAGCCGAGGUGGAAGGAGCAGAAAAAACAGCUGCAAUGCCAGAGGCAGAAAGCCCAGUGGGGAAGAUGGUCACUCCUGAAGGAGCAGCAGCAGUUGUGGUGGGAGCAUCGGAAAACCCAGCAGCAGAAAGAGUGGCUGAAGCAUUUGCUAGGGCAGCAGAAAGAACUGCAGUAGCAGAAGUAGCCAAGGUGUUGCAGUCAGCAAUAGCUGAGCUCAAAGGGAAGAGGAAGGACAUGUGGUUAAAGCCAAGGAACGCCACUCAGCAGGAAAAGGAUUGGAUGAAAGAGGGAGAGGUGAAAUGAAAAGGAGAGGUGAUGUUCUGGGUCAUACCUCCUAAUGGCUUGUACCAUCACUCCUGGAAUGCAAUAGGACUGCCAGUCACAUCUCUUUUGUGACUCGCUAUACUGUUAAAAAUAAAUAUAUGGCAGAUUCUGCAUGCAGUAA